rnacentral:rRNA from 1 species
UACAGAGGUCUCAAGCGUUGUUCGGAUUCAUUGGGCGUAAAGGGCGCGUAGGCGGCGGGGUAAGUCUGGUGUGAAAUCUCGGAGCUCAACUCCGAAAUUGCACUGGAUACUGCUCUGCUUGAGGGUUGGAGAGGAGAUCGGAAUUCACGGUGUAGCAGUGAAAUGCGUAGAUAUCGUGAGGAACACCGAUGGCGAAGGCAGGUCUCUGGGCAUUAACUGACGCUGAGGAGCGAAAGCAUGGGGAGCGAACAGG